ensembl:ncRNA F28F9.12 ncRNA
CGCCGACACUUGUCAAAAGCUUCACCUCGUCAAAACGGCCCCGAGCCCCUACGGGGAAAACCUUCACACACAAGAAAUGGCAACACAGCGACAACCUACGCCAUCAAUCUUCACCAUAUUUCAUCAAGGGACCGCUUUUUCU